GCGGCCGCAGUUGAAUUCACCAAAUAGAAGACAUUGGAAAUGAGACCCGAGGGUUGGAGGAGGAGGAAGCCUGCAAUGUGAACACGAUGGCUGGAGCUCCGGCAGCCAUUCUGGACCAGGAGGUAGCCUUGAAGAUGGAAGCCACAUGUUGGGAUGGUGAAUCCAAAAGAUGAGGAGCCUGUAUCCCCUGUGACACCAGAACUGCCAUACCAGCCCUGGGUUCCUCCAUCUAUACUGCCUUCAU
rnacentral:lncRNA from 1 species